GGGAGGGCCCUGCGGGCGGCCCCUCUGCAGCUGCUGGGGGCCAGACGCAUCCACCGCCCCCUCGAGGGACCUGUAUAGUCGAAGUAUAUUUACGUAAGGAGAGGCCAGGGUAAAAGCGAGGGGCGGAGAGGAAAAAUGGUCUCUGGGCACAGCAGGGUGACGCCGGGCUGAGGUGAAGGAUGGGCAGAAGCCCCUGCAGGCUGAGGUACCUCGGCCGCGGCAUGGCCUCGCCUCCAGGCUGGAGGAAAAGCCGCGUUUCCCAGCUCCGCCGCCAAAAGUAAGCGUGCGGGGCAUUCACAAGUCUUUGAGGCAACCCAGCUCGAGAAGUGUUUCCUUUUUCCCUUAAGAGCCAAUGGCACACACCUAAAAGCCCCCAAAAAAGCCUUAACGUGGAAAAGAAGGGAGUUGAAAGCCUGUGUGUGUGCCGGCGAAGCGGUCACCCCGCACGUACAAGGGGAACUCCCGAAGGCGAUGCCCGCACAGCCCGAAAUAAAAGUGCUAAACGUCCGAGAGCCGAGGGACGCGGAAACUGAAUGGGGACCUCCUCGCCUCGGCUCUUUCAUAACAGCAGGAACGCGGCGCGGCGAUGCGGUAACGCGGCGAUUAGGCAACGUUUUGUGAGGGGAGAGAAGGAAAGGUUCGGUAAUCCGACGUGAAUAAAGCCCGAAAGAGCCAACUAAGCCAUACCUGGAUCUCAUGAAUGCGGCCGAAGCCGUCCUUCCAGAAGAACUCGUAGAGAUUGUAGAGGGUGUUGGGUCCGGGCAUUUCGUGCAGACUCUUCACCCUGCCCAGCUGCGGGGAGGGCUCCAGCAGCUCCCCCGGCCGCGCCGCUUUGUUCUCCGCGCCGCUCCGCACCUCCAGGGACUGACUGCCCGACAGCCCGGGCGCCUGGUGAAACCUGCUGACAAAAAGCGCGUGCUGGAAGUAAGUCCUCUCGGAUUCAAGAACUCGCGUGAGGAAAGACAUGUCUUAAGUUCAGGAAGGUCCACUUUUUUUUUUUUUUCUCUCUUUUUCUUUUUUUUUUUUUUCUUUUUUCUUUUUUCCCCGCAGAUACUUUUUAUUUGGUUGCUCUUUCUUCGCUGCCUGCUUUAACUUGUACAAGCAGCACUACUCCAAACUCUUACUGCAUGAGCAUCAGUUUACACAGACCAUUAUUUAACGCUCCCUCCCCUAGGGCUGGAAAAGGGGGGUGGGUCUGGGAUGAGACUUGAAUAGAACGAACCUAUUAUUUCGUAUAAUUCAAAUCAGAUAAGUUUGCCCAUUAAGCGUGCAGUCCAAGUUUACUUUUUCUCUCUUUCCCCAAUUGCUUUGGCAAAAUCUCACAUGUGGAUUAUCCCAACUUUCUCCUUCAUUAAGAAGGUGAAUUUGGGGCCUUUUUUUUUUUUUAUCUUCUCCCCCCUCCCAUAUGUUAGAGAACACAGUAUUUUCUGUGAGUAUCAUCCAAGAACAUAUAUAUGGAAACAUUUCUACAUCCACAGAAAACAGCAACUGUCUUCCACGGUAACAUUACAAACUCGCAUUCCUGUAAGUUACAAUAACCAGGGAUGUUAUUUGUAUUACAGAGUUUGUUUGUGAAAGGAUGUACCUUGUGUCAACUUUUGUACAAAAUAUCCAGUGCCUUUCAACCAUGCACAAGGUUCACCUCGGCUUUGCCUCAAUUCAGCAGUACAGGUCUAUAACCACACACGGAGAACUUGAGCUCCAACCUGUAGAUCAGCUUCUUUUGCGCAAUUUCAAAGUCCUUUGUUCUACCUUCAUACCCACUUGUAUAUGCUCAUAGAAGUAUUAGUGAUAGUCUGUAAAAACGUCAUUAGCUUCAGAAAAGGUGCACAAGAGAUCCAGCUCAGUUACAAGUGGAUCACAAGCUCUGAUAAAACCAGAAAACAGAGGAAAAUUUAAGGCAAGAUCCACAUUUCUAGAACUUACUUUACCAGCAACAUAGCCAUGACCAAGUUUAGUGAGCUUCAAACUUAUUUUCCCUAUAUUCUCCAUGUUUUUGUGCACUUAUAUUUGGGGGCACAAACCAAUUAAGACUUGUGUACAUGCUUGAUUUUAUCACUGAGAAUAAAGUCCACCUCCCAUUAAACAUCAGCCUUUGUAAGCACAGCAUUAAGUGUUCCAGGAAUAAAAAUGCACAGGAUAAAUAGCAUCUAUAAAGUACACACUUGUUUAAGCUGAAGUAGUGUCUCUAAAAUAGGCUUCAUUAUUUUUUAAGAAGUCUAGAGAAAAGCAGCAUAAAAAAAUAGAAGUUUUUAAAAAUGAUAAAUAGAGGCGGUUGAGAGUUAUUUCAUGUGGUAAAGAAGACUGCAUGACAACAGCCUAUAGAUGUAUACACCUUCUGUUAAGAUGCAUAUCAGAAGAAAAAAAACAAUAGUCAUAGUUUGCAGCUACAAAUGUCUUGGAUAGAUUUUCAGAUAGCACUGCUACCUCAGAUACCUCUGGGUUCUCCCACACAUUUCAGACUGCCAAGCUACCUCACAAGGUUAUGUAAUUGCUGUCACUAACUCUGUAAGAGCAGAUUUGAUAAACAUCUGUUGGGCACAGUCUGAGUGUAUCACAUUCUAGACUACCUUUGGAGUUUCCCUUUACUGACUAUGUUUAUGCCUGUUGUAGCUAUGUUAUUUCUUUAACAUUUGCCUGAAGAUGGUUUGGGAGACACAAUUACUUAUAAAACAAAUGGUUCUGGGGAAAAAAAAAUCAGGUAGAUGUGACGAUAAACUUGUUCUGACUUUUACAAGUGAAAGCUAAUUCUAUGUCUUGCUUAGGGACAGUGUAGGAGAAAAAAAAUGAAACAAAACAGGGAAUACCUCUUAAAGUAAAUAGUAGAUGCACUAAGAGAUACCUGUAGGAGGAUUUAAAAAGAACAGGAAGAUAGACAGUAGUCCUAAAGGAUGGAAAGGACAGUCCAAACUAAAUCACCUAGAUUACAUUUGCCAUAUUCUAAGAACAAUAUCCAAAAUAUUUAAAGCUUCUGAAUAACUGACAAUGUCCCUAGAUUGUAAGUCAACAAAUAAAAUGAAAACAGCACGAAUUCACUUUGCCAGGAACACUGGUAUAACUCCUUAACUAGACAUAUUAAAGGUUAUAUCAGAAUUUUAAAAAAUGAAUUAAGAUCAGAGCUAGAAAUUUGAAAGUAAAGUUUGUUUUCAAGUUUAUGCAGUAGCUCUCCAGCUUUAAAAACUGAUUUUCAUGUUCUAAUCUCUAGAUUGAUGGAGAGAAUAUAUGCUCCUCCUGAAACUCCUUCUCACAUCUAUUAGUAUGGUAUUUUGUAUCAGUCUCACACCAUUAAUAUCAUGUAAAGCAGCUGCUUCUAUUCAUAUGCUAGUAAGAAACUCAGAUAUACUAUAUACUGUAGGGCUUCAAUCUUGCAGCUGGCACUAGCUUUCUCUGCCUGUACAUUUUUUGUAGUUAAUUCCAUAUUUGGGCAUUUGGUUCCCUCCCCCUACCCUUUACUUCACAAUGAAUUACUCCUUCUCUACAAAAUUAAUUGUAAGAGAGUUUUUGUGACCAGCCUACUUGAAAAAGAGUUUCAGAAGUUUUGUCCUCUUAAGUACUUCACCACAACAGUACCUAUUUUUUUCUCAAAGGAAUUUCUAGAGGUGGCAAUAGUCCCAGCAUAGGAACUAUGUGGUAAAUCCACGCUUUCACUCACACAUCUAAGCAGUUUAGUUCAUGUUCAUGUUUAAUUUAUUUUGUUUGUGUGUUUGCCAAAUAAAUAAAUAAAAAGUGCAAAACACAUAUUCUAUUUGAGAUAGGUAAACAGAGAAAAAUGCUAUUUCAGUCCAAGCAGAGCUGAAGGGGACGCCAAUCAUACUCUACUCACUUCAAGGGAGACUAAACAUAGAACUUGCAUACAAGCAUAAUAUAUAGUAUUUUUAAUAUAUUUAUAUAUAGAUAGAUAGAUAUAAAUAUAAAUUUAAAAAUAUAAUAUCAUUCAAACAUUCUGUGACUGCCUGCUAUCAAGUUUAUCAUAAUAAAUCUACUUUUAGGAAAUAAAAACCAAACACCUAUACAUAUAUUCAGUCUGCUACAUGGAUAGAUCAUGCUCAACAUUGGAAAGCCUAAGAAAGUUUCUCCCAUUAUUCACACGCACACAUAUUAAUGUGAAAGCAAAAAAUUGAAAAGCAGGAAAAAAAACAAAGCAGGAAAAAGUCAAUGAAUGUAGUUAUUUUUGAGUAAUGUUAUCAGCUUUUAAAGAAAAGGCAGAACAAAUGUGGCAUUUGAGAAAAGAGACCUAAGACAUUCCUGUGAGACACCUCCACAUCUGCUACUGUUCUGUGUUUCUAAUGAUUAGGAUUUGCCAUCAAUGUUUUAACCUAUUUCCCUCCAAAUAAAAAUACAAAGAAUUUGCUUAGAGGCAACAGUUGAGUAUAAUAAAAAUAAAUGAAAAAAGCACAAAAUAGCAAUGAUGGUUAAAACUGUCAACUUUCUUGGCUAUAACAGAAGAGGAAUUUGAAGGAGAAUUAACAAUGCAGUUCCACAUAUCUGUAAAAUGGGCUCCUUUCAGGCACGAGUUGACUGACAUCCACAGUAAUAUAAUCUUUACUCAGUGCACAAGGUAGCCAGUAGCUCUAAGUCUUGUGUUAGCAAAAACCUAGUAGUGGUAAGCCUAAGCGGCCUGCAUAUUGUAGCUUGUAAUAACAGAUAACAGAAGGCUCACAAAGUAAUUUAUCAAAAAAACCCAGUCAUAAUAUUAACUUCUAAGUAUGUUUGGAACAUGAUAGAUAUUUCUAGGAAGCUUGUUAGAUGGAGUAGAAAUGAAGAGCUGCUAGUAGAUACAAGUUCAGAUAGACUUUUACAAUAAUGCUAUUGUAUGAUAACACAGUACAGUAACUGUAGAAUAACGCAAGCUCAAAGGGUCCCAUAAGGAUCACCGAGUCCAACUCCUGACUCCACAGGACCACCCCAAAAUUAGACAAUAUGUCUGACAGCAUUGUUGGGAUGCUUCUUGAACUCCAGUAAGCUUGGUGCUCUGACCACUUCCAUGUCUGACCGCGCUGUCAGUGAAGAACCUUUUCCUGAUAUCCAACCUGAACCUCCCCUGGCCAUCAAUAAUUAUCAAUAAUACUAUAGUAAUCUAUUAAUGCAGAUACAGUUUUGUUUUUCUAGCUAAGCUAUUGAAAAAUAAUACUUGGAAUUAUAAUAGCUAAAUUAUUCCAUGGUUAAACAGUGAAAACCAGGAAUGGAAUACUUAUGAAUGCGAAUGAUUGUGUGGGUUACCACAGCACUGAAUAUAUAAUUACACUAUUUUCUUCUCUUUUCUGUGCCAGAUAAUAAUUGUGUGGUUCUGUUUGACUUUCAAAUAAGAGUUAUUAAUAUACGCAUCACUGUUUGCUGCUUUACCACCACUCUCUGCAGCCUUACUACAGCAGAAUCCAAGAUGGAGGUCAGACUGACCAACUAAGCGUAUUAAAUAAUCAGCAUUAUCAGUAAAACCCAGAGUUUACGCUCCAAGAGACAGACAAAGCUGAAAUAAUAGUCUCCUAGAGUAGACUAGAAAAAGAUAAAGGAAGAGUGAAAGAAUGAAACUUACCUACAGUUGAGAGAGCAGCAGCAGAUUUGACAUGACCUAGGGUAAAAGCUAGGCUUGUGGAAGGAUGUGUUCUGUCCCUUUUUCCUUAGAAAUACAAUCGCGGAUUUGUUUCAGGUAACAGAAAUCCAGUAGUGUCAGAGAAACAAGGAAUUCCCACGAAAAAUGGUGAAUGUAGCAGCUGUAACAUAAAACUUGUUCGUUCCAAUCCACAUAAGCCCACUGAACCAUAAAGGAGAAGUUAUGCCAUCAGCUCUAGCCAACCAAAACACAUUUAUGUGACUUGGAAGACAAACAUUUUCUCCUACUUCCACAAUCUUCCAGCACAUGUAUUCAUCAGACUUAACAGAAACUUGAAUAUACAGUUAUUUAAAUUUGAACGAUAACUUUUGUGCUAGUCUGUCAGUCCACUGAUUCUGAAAAAUUGUUUUGUGUAACUAGUCAGUUUGGACAUUUAUUAUUUCAAACCAGUUGGAGCACAUGCCUCUUUCACAGUAGAAGUGUUUCAAUUUUAGUUAACUUUUGGUAUGUAACAGGAUCACAGUAUAAACUAAACUUGACUAUUGACAAUUUAAGAUUGCAUAUUAUUAUUGGAGGAUAGCUUGCCUGGAAAUCCACAGUCAUACUGUUCUCUCAGUCUGGACCCCCUAGUGGGGUCAUAUUAACUGUGCUUUGUUACCUUCACUAAGUUAUUUCUAAAUCCAAUUUAAACUUGCCCUCCUCUUUGCAUGAACUCUGACAAAGUUCAUCUGAAGCUUUCUUUGUGUCCUAAUGGCUUUGCUAUUCAGAGUCAGUGGUUACAUUAUCAUCUUAGCAGGAAUUCUGUUUUCUCAGAAUUAUUUUCAUUUUUCAAUAGUCUUGGCUAUAUCUGGCUUGCAAUCACUUGAACAGUAUCAUAAAUAUUGUACUACGUAUAAAAUACCACAGUGUUCAAAUAGCUAAUGCAUCUAAACGCAUUUAUGGAAGCAAAAGGGGUUUGAUGGGAGGCAUUUAACUUGGCCCAAGUAACACCUUCAAUUAACACUAUAAAGAUAGGCUCUUCAGAAAUUUCAGAAGGAAAAACAGCUGAAGCAUUGAAACGUCAGAAAUUUCGGCAAAAAUUUUCAGUGUAAUUUGAAACAUCUUUUCACUGAAAAAGCCAUGCCAUUAGUCAUGGGUUUUGCUUCUUCUGACUGCUCUUAAAUGCAUAUUUUGAAAGACCUUUUCAAGUCGUAAAAUCAUUUCUUUGGAAUUUUAAAUGAUUUCCAAAUUCCUAUUUUUUUUCCUGAAAAAAAGGACAAAUUUGAACUUAAUAGAGCAUGAGGUGACAACAGAGCUUAUAGGUAAUUUACUCAUGAAGCAGCUUUAGUUUAAAAGAAAAAUGAAAACUACUUCUCAGUUUUUGGUUACAUCUACCAUACGGUAAUUUAAAAUCUUAAUCAAAUUUGGAUAGAAGAACACACAAAUCCAAGCAAACUACCCCAUCCCAGCAUCUGACAGCACUGUGCAUUAUUUACUAUUUAAUGCUUAAACAAAAACCAUAAAUGAACAGCAAUAAAUAAAUGAUUCAGCUCUACUUGUAGAUUUCUUGUAGCAGAUAUAGAUCCUUAUCCUGUCUAAUGGUACACCUGAGAAGUAGCUGCCUUCAAUCUCCAUUUUUAAGUUCUUAAACACAUUGUAAAAAGGUACCGCUAAAAACUGUGAGCAUCACAAGGGCACAGGAAACCACAGAAAAUAGGAUCUGCAUCUAUUUCAGUGCUUCGCAGAGCUGAAAUGCUGUUGGAAAGUAUAACACGAGUGCCACUGCGCCCUUGCAGUCCUGCAAGUCAUUUUAAUGAAUAACAGUACUCUUCAAGCAUUUAUCCUUUCACAGAUACUUGUUGACUUGCCAUAAGGAUGAACACAAACAUGAGUUUCAGUAUUGUCAAAACUCCAAAGAACUAUAAAGAAGAAUGACAAUUCCAUGAAGAAGCUAGAAAGUGGAAGUUUUCUCAGUAAGGAAUUUAGCCUAGCUAAGGAGGUGACCAGGAAUAGAGUAAACUGAAUUAUGUCCAAGAAAAUUGCACAUCUAUUAACUGACUUCCAAGAAGUAACAUACUUACCCUCAAGUUCACCUGCUUCUGCCACCACUCAGUCUGAAAACAGUUUUGCUAUACAAACUCAUGUUAUUUUGUCCCCCACUUAAUGAGAAUUCAGGCUAUCAUCAAGUCAUAUCAUUUGCAGGUGUCAACAGUUUAUCAGGAUCCAUGAACUGCAUAUUGCACUUCGUUGGCUGCUGCUAAACAAUGCAGUGUUAUGCCAGAAUACUCCUACAGGGAUAUAGACAGCAUCUCAGAAAGGUACAUAUACAGAAGUGUAAUGGCAGAAAGAAAGGGUUCCCUCACAUGCUUCUGCAAGACAAACUCAGAGCUCUCAGCCAUGUUGUUUCUACCGUUUCUGUAGCAAGCAAUCUCGCAAUCCAUUUGCACAGUAAAAGCACUGGCCAGCAAGCAUCUGAUAAAGAACGUGAGUGCCUGACUGCAACUUUAGAGAGCUAGGGCCCAGAUUCUUGGGAUUCAGGCCACAAGGCAGUGAGAGUCCACCACACAUACUGUGCAGUUACUGUGAAGCAUCGUGCUUGCAGCCUACCAUACUGCUUCAAAUAGAUACCUGUGUGACAAAAUUCAGUGCUGAGUUGUGUAGCUGAACAAGAUAGCUUCAUUUCCUACAGAACAGGGAUUGCAGACUAAUUCUGGAGCAGUAUAUUGUGCCCACUGCUUUUGGAAUCAUGCCUUAGAGAACUGCUAGUCCAUGCAGUUAGUGAGAAACAAGUAGCUUUUCUUAGCAACAGAUUCCUGUCUGGAAGGCAGAAUUGAGUGAGUAUAUUACAGCGUAGAUACAGGACAGCAACUGUUUUAUACUGAGUAACUGCACAUCUGUUCGCCACUUGCAGCUACAAUCAUCUGUAUGGAGUAACUACUGCAGUAAUUCUAUCAAAUUACUGAUUCUAAACUGUGAACACCAACACACUAUUUCUGAAACAUGGAUUCUUACCUCUUACAAUUAUUUUUCUUUGCUUAAUGCUGAAAGUACUGCAUCCCACAUAGACCAUUAUUUAGUGUAAGAUCACUCACCAUAGCCAAGAUUUGCAGAAUACUGCAUCACUCUUCUAACUUCAAGUACUACUAAUGCGACAGUUACAAAACCAAGUAUUGUUAUUAAGCCAUUUACAAACGUAGCGAUUUUUCUCCCCUUCUCCCCCUCCCCAAAGUUUAUGAUGAAAGGAGAAGAGUUCCAAAGUUAUUCAUAAAGUGUGGUACAGAAAAUUAUGCAGAGGCCUACUGACUUACUUUCCCAUCUGUCCCACUGCCAGACUCCUCCCAUUACAUUAAAUUAUCUUUCCAUUUACUGUUGUUACGAGAGCCUGUCUGAAUUAUUAGAAGGAAAUAAUACUUUAAAACUGGGGGGUGGAAACCAGCACCAGAACGCUGCCCAUUAAUCUUUUGCCUAUAAGAUGCUCAGGUACUGUUGUGAAUAGUCCCAGCUUGUGAGGCAAAAAACCUAGAACAAGAAAGAGAAAGAACCCGGCAUUAUGUGGUAUAUCUCAGAGCACAGAACAAAAGCCUCAAUCAGACCAGUUUCAUUUUCAAAAUUAUCUGUGAUAGAGAAACUGAAGACAAGUGCUGUGUGUUCUGAGCUAAGCUUCCACCAUUGCAAGAAAUAUUCUCCAUUUGUGAAUUCAUACUAGAAAGAAUCAAUUUGUUCCUGAAACACAUCUGCCACCUAAGUUGGAUAGCUUUACCAUACAUACUCCUUCUGGUAGAGCAAUUUUUACAGUAAUCCAUUUUGAAACAACAGAUCAAGAUAAAUGCUAUUUGAUAGGUUGUUUCUAGGACUCUAUAAACUCUCAGCAAGGUAAAGAAGAAAAAGAAUCCACAAUACAGGUAGUAUAACUAACUGUUACGAUAUUAAAUUGAAGAUUUUUGUUGUUAUUUAUUGUUUUUCAAGAGUGCUCUGUACCAGAAGCUUCUCCUCCCUCUCCACAGGUUUUCUAGACAGUUACUGUAUUUACUUCAUUAUGAAAAAAGCCCUAGGAUUCUCUCCUUCAUGCAUCUGCCUCCUAAUCACCUUCUGGCAAGUCAAAACACUCUUUGAUCCAACAGUAACUCCUGUAGUGACACUGCACUGUUUAGCAGUUAUGGUUUUAUUAUGUAACUAAUAAACAGAACAUAAAUAACAAGGGAAAUAGCUUUUAUUUCAGAAACUUCUCAACAGUAGCAACAAAAAUAAGGGAAACGGAGCACAGAGUUUAUUUGUACUUACUAAUGCUUUCCUCUAGUUUACUUUGCAGACAGAGCCCUUCUUUCUCUUCAUCGUAGAACUUCAAAAUGUUUCAACCAAUUUGCUAGGAUUUUAGAAGAAGCCAAGUCAUGGUUAUCAACUAGGUCCCAGUUUAAAAACAUUAUGUAAAGUGCUCCUAUCAGGACUCAAUCACUUUUGUUUAAGCGAUUUAAACAUCAACAUUUUGCUAAGUAGACAGUAAUCAGAUAAAUAAUAUUUCUAACAUCAGUACAAAGUCCAUAUACAAAACCUUUUCAGAAUUCACCUGAAAAAGUGUCCUCAGGUGAUAAAAAUAAAACCUGUUCAUCACACUGAAAACCAGACAGGUAUAACCGGGAUCCAGUCACUGGAUAAUAUACAUCUCCGUGAUGAGAUUAGGUCCUUAUCUUCUUUUCAUUCAGUCACAAGAACAGAAAUGCUGCUAAGCAAAAACGUGGCUAUAUAGAUGCACACAAAGAUGUCUUUUAGAGGACCUGCCAGAAAUUUCAAAUCCAUAUUUUUAGUUAUGGAAAGAGGUACAUGGAUGCACAGUUGUUAUAGAACGCACACAUGAAGGACAUCAUUUCCGGAAGCGCUUAAAUAGGGGAUGGAUGUGCUUAUUUGAAGAUGCCUUACUCCGAGAUGAGUGAUAUUCCAUAUAAACCGCAUCAUCGGCUCCUGACAUAGAGCUCAUUGUGCCUGUGCGACGUGACAUCUGCAAGCAUGGAGAGGAAAAACACAUGCUUAGAGUGUGUGAUUAGACAGAUCAGCUCUCAUCUACAGACCUUCGGACCAAAAAGCCCUCAAAACUGGUUUUUAUUUUCCUUAAAGGAGAACUUCUACUAAGAAAGUAACUGCCUGCCUACCACUCACUCUUAUGUAAAAUGGUCUUUUAGUUUCUGCCCUUUGGGCAUGAGGAAAUCAGUGAAUUAAUGAGCCAAGAGCUAAUGCAGCUUAAAAAAAAAAAAAAAAAAGUUUUCCAGUAUUUUACUAAGACAUGAAGGCAUCAGUGGUGCCAUCACAUUCAGAAUUAAAACGGAAUGGUCCUAUUCUACUGCAUUUGUGGUCAUUCUUUUCAAAGCAUUUUUCAUUACCUGAACAGACUUUGAACCAUAUUCUCCAGCAACUACCUCCUCCUCGGCAUCUAGGUCAGAUGCUUGUAGGACUUUCUGAAGAAGUUGUUGCUGUUCUUCUUUGGAUGAAAAUGAAAGUUCUUCUUCUUCCAUGCCUGCAAGCUUUGUUAUUACCUAAGAAACAGAGCACAGUAUAAGUCAGGAGUUUUUGAACUGUUAUUAGUUAUGGUGCGUGUGCAAAUGUAUCCCCCACCCCAAUCUCCUGUUAUAUUCUGGCUUGAAAUGCAGUAGCUCUGGACAGGAAAUGUAUGCCAAACAUUGUCAUUCCAUGCCAGCUUGACCAGGAACCUUACUGGAAGGAUGACUUCAUGCUGCAGCUUCAGGUUUUGUCCAAUGUAAGAACUAAUACUUUAUAUGAAUAUACUUUACAGUAAAGUACGUUGUAUUUCAUAAAAAUAAUCAAUGAGCUUUCCAGGCACCAAGAAUUUUAACAUACACAUUUAGAAACAUUCACAAUUAGUUGUUGAGAGACUGCACAACAACCUGCAGCAGAACAUCAGCAGUGUCACUGUUGUCAGCAGCAAUUUCUAAAUUGAAAAAAUGCAUUUCUCUGAGAAAUGUGUAGUUUUAAGAAUCUAUUCAAGGAAGCAACCUGUCCUAUUAUAUGGACAAAUGAACUCUAUGAUUCCUCUUGUUGUUUAUGAAGUACAUGUGCCAUGAUCACCUCAAAACCAAAACAGAGCCACAGGAAGAACUGCAUUAGCAUGUUUACAGUUGUUGCAGAACAGUGCUGGCAUAUUUCAUAAAACAGAAAGAAUUUCCAUUGCAUCACAAUUUUUUUAAGCUGCCGAACAGAUGCCAAGUUUAAUGUAAUCAGAUUCUUUGAUUCAGAUUCUUUUGCUGAAAGGCACAGAAUUGAGCUACUGAUAGAUGAAAAGAAGAAAGUCCUGGAAGAAAAAUGCAUACAGUUACCUUUUUAAGAGAGUACCAAAUUUUUAGUAAUGUUAGGCAUCAGGAAUAAAAAUUCCAAAGGAAAGGAUGUUAGCACUGAAAUAAUUGCCUAAAGAUGAAGUAGAGUCACGAAGACAAACAUCUGCUGGGAAUGACAUACACAGUUGAUUCUGGCUUGUAAUGAAGAAACAUUAGAUGGUUUCUUCAAGUUUCUUCCAACCCUAUUAUUGUUCAAUGCCAGCUAUGACUAAAGCUUAAAGUUCAGCAAACAGAAGAAAACAGAUAUUCUAGCAUUUUGUUACUAAUCUUCAAAUAAAGAACAUUCCAGUACUGGUCAGCUAAAAUUCUGCUCCAGACAGUCAGAUGCCAUUUGCACUACUUUUAUUGCCACGAAGUCCGAACUCCUAGGACUAGGUCUUCCUUGCAAAAUAAAACCUCUCUAUUUUAACCUCUUACUUAGUUCUAUAAUCCGAGACUUAUAUUCAAAUAAAAGCAGAGGGAUUUCUUUAAUCUUCUUGGCUAUAGCCACAUAGACUCAUUUGUUGUAAUUACCUGCAGCUGACUGAUCUACAGUUUUGUCAAGAUAUGUUCAAUACAAAGCAAAACAAGGCUCUUACAUGUAAAGCCUAUGACAUGUCUGUUUUGAUGCAAAGACCUCCUCUUUAACAGGGCCACUGAUGACAGAGCAGUUUACUUCAGAGUACCUGCAGUUCAUACAGGUUCUACCCACGGAGAUGUCCCAAAAUGGAUGUAUGCCUCUAAUGAUCUUCAACAGCUAGGUUCAAGUGCAAUCCAUUAGAGACUAUUUGCUCUUUCACCUUGUGCAAUUUGUGCAGUGACUGCUGCACAUGGCUAUCUGGAACAUCAUUUGUCUUUCACGUCACCGUCACCACUGCUGAAACACACCACCCACCACCUCAGUUUGCUAGCAUCUACUGUUUAAGUCUCCGUAAGUGUUCAGCAAGCUUCAGUGAACGUCAAUGGGUGCCAUUUUUUCUGCACGGAGGAAUUCAAUUCCACAUCUUUGCUUCAUAUGCACUUCCAUGCCAGACACCAUUUUGUCGGACUGCCCCCCUGCUACCAUCUGUCACACAACAACAACAUGCAAUGGAAUAUUGGUGAGAAGAUUCAGCCUUUACUGCCAUACUACCAACAUCCACCUCUGACACUGUGGGCCAACAUAAUUAAACAGGAGGCAUUACUUUCAGAUCCACCCUUAUAUAUCCGAAAGUAAUGUAACUAAAGUAACUUACCUUCCUAAAAGCUGUAUUAAACUACUUGUAUCUACCCUUACAGCAACAGAGUUAACAGAAUAAUGCAGGAAAAAUUUUUGCCUGCAAGUAAAACCUUCAUUAAUACAUUUCACAACUGUAAUUCUCAAGUAUCUGACCUAGUCACAAAAUGAAAGAAUUAAAGUUAUAUUCACAGGCCACAGUUUAGUAAUUAGAAGGGACAAAUUACCUUGAAGCUAUAGCCUUGAUCUACAAGAAACCGCUGUCGCUUUGUUGAAUAUGCCAUUUCCUGAGUGUCUUGGGAUACAAGAGAAUAGAAAAAGGCAUUGUAUUCCUCUGCAACCAUGCCUAGGAGACAAAGCCACCAAAGGAUUAGUUCCAUUUGGAUCACUACAACCAAGAAGAAAAAAGGACUAAAUUGUAAAAAUAGGUAUUCAAAGAAGAAUCCUCUCCACAAAAUCAGUUUGUAAAAUGUAUUUUAAAUACAAGCUGCAUCCAGACCUUACAUAAACUGAGUGACAAAGCACACCACAUCGAAAUUCCUACUCUUGUUCAUAAUAACUCGAGGAUAGCUUAAAGGGAAAUGGAAAAGGAAAUUUAGACUAUCCCAGUUAUGCUGGUACCCCGAGAAGAACCUGCUGCUUAACUAUGCAGAACAAAGUAGAAGAAAAAAUUACUUACAUAAUAGUUUGCAAACAAGUGGUAAGAAGUCGAGAACAAAGAUUGUAAUGGAUGUCAAAAAAGUUAAACAGAAAUUACAAUGGAAAUUUAUCAGUGUGAUUUAUCAAUGUAAACGAAAGUUAGCAAUCUUUUUGCAUUAAAAGAAAGAUAAAACGAUAUUUUCUUUAACAACAAAAAAACCAAAGCAACCAAACCAAUCAAACAAACAAACAAACAAAAGCCCACUGACCUUAUGGCUAUUUUACCUACUCUCAAAUACCACUGGGUUUUCUUGCAAAACCCAAGGUCUCACUAACACAAGUUUUGUAUGCAUUUUCAAACAAAACUUCAGCCACAAGAAACAUAAACUGUACAGAAAAUAAACUUUGCUGUACUACACCAAGACAGCACUGUGGAGUGUGCUUUGGUAGGAAGAAAAUUACAGAUAACAGCAGCAACUCUGUAUGGGGACAAUAAAAAGAGACUUCACAUCACAUGAAAACAGGUGGGAGAAAGCAAACCCCAGAUUCUGCUUACAACACUCAUUUUCCCAACAGCCAAAUGCAGAACUGAAGCACUGCAAUUUUAUUCUCCACCUGACAGUUAUCAAUAAUUUCCUCUGAAAUACGACCACUUCCUAGGGAAUACUCUUUCUAUCUAAACUAAGUGCCAACAGGCUGUGAUAUAAACCAAUCUUUAAGCUUCUUACUACCUUAACUUGAGAGAACUCUUGAAGUAGAACCAUUUCACCUUGAGCUACUUUAUAAUUUGUCUCAAGAAGAUAUAAAUGGGAUUAGAGCAGAUUAAACAUCGCCUAUUUAUCAGUUAAUAGAACAGACUUACAUCAGUGUCUUUUAGGAAACAUUCAGUUAAUCAAGUCAACCAGCAAAUUCUGCCUAAGAGCGAUUCACCUUAGUUCAAGACUAAUAGAAACGUCAAAAGAAAACGUGACAGAAGCAUCCCAAUAGCACUCAUAUGUAUUCUUCAAACUGAGACACAGAUGGGAGUGAUCAGUGAGAUUUCAAAUAACCAAUGAAGCAAUUCCUAAAAUCCUGACCCCACAGUAAGUUUAAAUCCUACUCACAUAUCCAUCAUAGAAAAAGGAAACACCAGUACAACUGCAGUUUUUUUCCUAUAUGAUCUCUGCACUCUGAGUCUAGAACAUACCAUAAAAAGCAAAGCUCACUUUCACUGAAGCUACAGUGACACUGUGACUCCACAUAUAUCCCAGGCCAGAGUGACAAAUAGCUUUUCAGCUUACAGUUUACUUAUCCUCUAGAAAUAUACUGGAGGAUGAGGGGAGGAACAGCAAAAACCUGAUGAACUAUUCAACCUGAUAACGAAAACAUGAUUUUGACAGUCUUUGGGUAGGAAGUAAAUGCUACAAGCACUCCAUUUAUGCUUUGCUAUGGAUGGACAGGAUUGCUGCUCCUGUUAGUGCCACAGCUUUCUACAACCUCCACCUGAAGUGUUUGUAAAUCAACUUUAAUAAAACACUAAAACAAGCAUUAGAGGAGAGAGAUACCUCAUAGAAACAAUGCUGGCUUUAUUGUAACAUAGUAUAUACAAAUUCACAAGUUUGGAGGAAAAAAAUAAACAUCACUGGGUGUUCUGGCUCAGCUGAUCUUAAGUUCUUAAAACAGAAAGGGGGAAACAAUGCUAUUCUGGCAUAGUAAAUCAUUGUAACAGGAGAGGAAAGAAGAUGCAAGAAAGUAUACAAGAAAGAAUUCAUUUCUGGCUAAAAAAGAAAUGGAGAAAAGAAAUAAGAGCUGCUGCAAGUGAAAGACUGAAUGGCAUCCGUAUUAGAACAACAACAACAAAGCCAAAACCCAACACUUCUCUCACACGGAACCUUGAACUACCUUCUUAUUCAUGAUAUUGCAGUUUAUUCAGUCUGUGUUUCAGUAUUCUAAAUAGUUGAGUAAUUAUCUGAAUGCCGUACUGUAUUCCAAAGAGCAGAGCCCAAGAACUACCUCACCUUUUUUGGCUCUCAGUACUCGCCCCAGUCUUUGAGCCUCCUGUCUUCGAGAUCCACCGUGGGAUGAAAUCUGAAUCAGAACAUUGGCUUCAGGUAGAUCAAAGGAUGUGUCACCCACCUACAACACAGAAGCAGUGUCUGAGCAGCAUCUUAUUUCCAUGUACCAAUAACGACUUUGUACAAAGUACACCUUUAUUAGUUGCAAUAAUAAAACGUCAAAUGCCCGAUGUGCAUGUAUAACUUGUUCUUAUAUAAGGCUCACUCUGAAGAUGAGUACAAAAACACACUACCUCCUCACCUUUGAAAUGAAAAUAGUGUUGAUUUUUGGAUUGUGCUUGAAGUUUUGUAGAAUUUGCAUUCUUUCUCCUUGUGCAGUAGGACCAUAUAUAUAAGGUCUGAAAAAAACAGAACACAUGCAAAUUAAACCAAUUCAAAAAUCCUCAUUUUUUAACAGGCACUAAGAUAUCAUGGCAGGGAGCUCAUUACACAGUGAUUUAAACGUAUUAAUAGCACUGGUGAAAAAAAGAGCAUGAGCUAUGUGACUCUGGAUGACAGACUUAGGACAGAGUAAAAACUGGCUUAACAAAUUUUGAGUUCUGAGGCCUCAAAAAAUUAAAGGCAAAAUAAUUCCUGUCAUGUGCAUGUUCUUUCCCUGCUAGUACCAAGGGAAUAGAAUGGGGCAAAGGAGGAGCUGGUGCAGCAGCAGCCACCAGGCAAUGCCAAUUUCUCUCCACUGGGGAGCCCACCUGCCCCAUAUGCUUGAGCCAGGCAGUGGAACCCACCCGCUGAGCCAGCACAGCC
rnacentral:lncRNA from 1 species